rnacentral:rRNA from 1 species
UACGUAGGAGGCGAGCGUUGUCCGGAUUUACUGGGCGUAAAGCGCGCGCAGGCGGCAUGGCAAGUAAGGUGUGAAAAUCUCCCUGCCUAACGGGGAGGGUGCACUUUAGACUGCCAAGCUAGAGGACGGUAGAGGGGGGUAGAAUUGCUGGUGUAGCGGUGAAAUGCGUAGAGAUCAGCAGGAAUACCCGUGGCGAAGGCG